UUUUUUUUAAGAUCUCCAACAUAACCGGAGAUUUUUCAUGUAAACAUUCUAUUUGGAAUAUAAUAGACACAGAAAGAGGCAAAUAUCAUAAGAUAGAGUUGUGUGAAUUUUAGGCAGCUUUGCACUAACCAAAUCAAGAUAUAGAGCAUCGAUAACACCUAAAAACUUCCUAAAUGACCUUUCAAAGGUGUUAAUUUCCAAAGGUAAUCUUUCUGACUUCGUUUACCAGGGAUUUUUAGUUUGUCUUCUUAAAAAGAGUUAUAUAAUAUAUGUUGAGUGGCUUCCUUCAUGUAAUAUUAUGUUUGUGAGAUUCAUCAUUCAUUUAUUUGUGUUGCUGUACAUAGAACAUUACAGGUAUGCCUCGUCUGAGAUGUGUUUACCUUUUCUGCCAUUAAAGGCCAUUUAGGUUGUUUCUGAUUUGGCAUCACAUGAACAGUGCUGCUAUGGAACUCUUGUGUUCACAGAUGUGUGCUCUUCUAUUGGAUAAUAGGAUACAUGCUCUGCUUCUAUAAGCAUUACCAAUGUAUUUUCUCAUGUACCAAUUUAUACUCUCACUUGUAGUGUUGUGAGAGGUCUUGUUUCUCCAUAUCUUUAACAACCAUUGAGAUAAUCUUUCUCAUUUCAACAAUUUUAGUAGAUUUGCAGUAUCUCAUGAUGGUUUCAAUUUGCAUUUCCCUGAUGAUGAAUAAGACUGAAUACUUGAUCUCUGACCAUUUAAAUAUCCCAUUUGUUAAGUUCUUAUUUGAAUCUUUAUUUUAAUCUGUCUUUGUCUUGAGAGAUGACCAAAAACCAUUUACUUCACAGUUUGGGUGUGGGCGGUUGCCUAUCUUAAGGAGAAGUUCAUCUGUUUUAGAACCAUGCUGUUCAAUACAGAGGACAGUUAAAGUCAGCCUAGGAGGGUUUUAGGCAUUAUGCAAAUACUACUGCAUUUUACAUAAGGGUGCACUUUUUACAUAACACUCCACAGUCCCAUUGUACUAGGCAGUGGGACAUGUUGCUGAAAGACUUGGAGACAGAGUGCAAGACAUAAGGUUUAUUGAAAACUGCUUAUGUGGAAGGUCCAGUGGUGAGGGGCUGGAAACAUAGCUCUUCUAUCCUUUAUGGUGCUUUGCCAGAAAGCAGUGACUCUGUCCCUCACUGUGCUUUGUCCAGUAGCAGCUGGCUGGAUGAGCACUGAUCCCCUCCACAGCUCUCUGCUCCAUGGUAGUUACUGCAGGGAGAGGAGAAUCAAUGAGUCAGGCUACAGAAGCAGUGACAUCAUUAGCUUGCUUCCUUGCAUGAUGUGACCAGCAUUCCAAGGAACUUGACAUACAUGCAAGAAAGCAGCUUUCUAAGAUAACACUAAUUUCUCCUAAUUCUCAGUAUGCCUGAGAGAAAGUCCCUGUCUUUCAAGUAACACUUAUCUUGACCAUCUGGCUGGGGCCCACUCAUUGUUCCCUUGAGAGGGUUAGAUUCUUGGGAAUAUAAAGGAGCAUUUUAGGGACAUCAUGUUUUACUGUUCUUUACUCCAAGACCAACACAAAGGGAUUUGAGCAUCCAUGGGUUUGGAUAUCUGCUGGACAGCCCUGGAUCCAAUCUCCUGCUAAUUUUGAGGGACAAUCCUAUGACUGUUGAGUACUUGAAAUGUGGAUAGUCCGAGUUAAAAGGUGCUGUCAGUGUAAAUACAGACAGGAUUCUAAAGGGGUAAGAAGAAUACAACAUAUUUUAAGGUAUUGGACCAAAUAAAGCAUAUUAUUAAAAUGAACUUCAAUGCUUCUUUUUUACUUUUAGUAAUGUGAGAAUUUUAAGAAUUUUACAAUUACAUAUGAUUUUCAUUAUGCAUCUAUUAGAGUUGUUCAGAACUACUAGUAUAUUAAUUAUGGUGGGAAAAGAAAACAAAUGCUUGGAUUGUUCAAAAAAAAUCAUCUUAAAAUUUUAGGUAAUAAAAAUAAGUGCUGGAUUUAAAAAUGUGUUAUUGCUUGAUUGCGAAUUCCAUGGUCUCAGCUUGAGUUUUUCUUCAUUUCAGAGAAACGCUGUGAUUUUCCCACGGUAGAAAAUGGAAGGCUUGCCCAAUAUUACUAUACUUUUAAGAGUUUUUACUUCCCAAUAAGCAUAGACAAAAAGUUGCCAUUUUUCUGUUUGGCUGGCUACACAACUGAAAGUGGGAAACAAGAAGAGCAAAGCAGAAGUUCAGCAGAGGGCUGGUCUCUAGAACCAAGGUGCUUCAGUAAGUGAGCACGUUGUGUUUAACACAACGAGGGAUGGCUAUGGUGCUCCAAGAAACUAGUUUAUUGAAAAAGCUAAUUUAUUCCUAUGAAAUAUGGGCAGUGAUUAAACUUUCUGGUAUAUAAGAACAGAAUUACUAGUAAACUAUUAUAUAUUUUGUUAACCAAUAUCAGAUAUAAUUAAAAUCACUUGAAUGUAGAUACUUUUGUUAAUAUGUUGUAAGUUAUUUAAAUUGUCCACCUCCUCAGGUGACUCCAAUUUAAAAAUUGUUACUUCAUGAGAUUUCAUUUGAAUUUUGGCCUUUGAUCAAGGACAACGGACAAGGCUUUUGACAAUAAAAGACCGGUAGAGUUAGCCAACAGAAACAUGUUCGGCCCCUGAAUUACAUAAUAGAAAUUAUUCCACAACACAGAAAACAUUCAAAGUGAAGGAUAAAGUGCAAUAUGAAUGUGCUGCUGGCUACUACACAGCUGGAGGAAAGCACACAGAGGAGGUGGAAUGCCACACGUAUGGAUGGUUUCUCACACCAAAGUGCACCAAAUUGCAGUGCUCUUCUUUAAGAUUAAUAGAGAAUGGCUAUUUUUAUCCUAUAAAGCAAACCUAUGAAGCAGGAGAUGUGGUUCAGUUUUUCUGUCGUGAAAAAAUUAUUAUCUAAGUGGACCUGACAUAAUUUAGUGCUAUAACUUUGGUUGGUACCCAGAAUCUCCUGUAUGUGAAGGUAAACUUUUAAACUUUAUACCUGGGGAAGUAGCAUAUCUUAACCUCAUAUUUUAAUAAGUUUUAAUCUCUAUGAGCUCUGAAAAAAUAUUUGUGGUGAUAUCUAAUUCUAGAGAGCUGUGAAAUUUGAAACAGGAGCUGGGAGAAUGAACCAGGUUUCUGACCAGGGCUAUGCAAUGGGAUUGCCUGGAACUAUCAGAGUUUCCUAAUUGCACCCAGUGAAAACUUGGACAGUUUUGUCAUUUUCCA